GAGACACCCAGAUGGAGGAGAAUGGGACUCAGAUAAAAAAAAAAAAACAAAGAGCUGCAUGGGUAGAGAGAGUAGGGAGAGAGUGCAGGCUGAAAGAGACACAGGAGAGGGACAGAAGGAUUUAAAGGGGAACAGAGCUUGGAAUUAGUUCCUGAAAGAAGAAGAAAGAAACCCAGAAGAAGUAUGGAGAGACUACAAGAGAGAGACAACAGAUGGCAGAGAGAAGAGAAUGGAAGAAGAGUCUCAGAGAGAGACUUACCUGGGAAGCCAAAGUGAGGUGACGACAGAGACUUCCGAGUUGCCUGAACACCUGCUCACAAUUCUAUCUAAAAGACAACUGUUAAAAUUAUCAUCCUUACUAGUUGAUCAGACCAGGCAAUUCAUCUAUCUGUGCUGGUUUAGCAACAACAACAACCACAGCAACAUUUUAAUCAACCUUUGAGGAAGAAUCCAACAGUAUCUGGUAACAAUAUUACACAACAGUCAAGUGGAAGAACUGAGGCAGCACACAGUAGCCAGCCAAAAUUGCAAGAAGAUGUGGUUUCAAGAACUGAUAACCUUAUGUCUGUACUCACUGGUCAACAUUUAAUCAAGGAGAUUGAAUGAAAAGUAAUUGAUUUUAAAGCUCUUAGCUGUUUUUGGUAAAAAGCAAUACAGCAUACAUUUCAAGCAAAAACUAAUGGAUUUGUUGACAUCGCAUCAAUCACGGUGCUUUUGUGUAAGAGUUGUCCUUCUAUUUUGUAAAAAAGUUGUCUAUGAUUACUGAAAAGCAUGACACCCUGUUGCAAUACAUUUCUUGUUGAAGAGCUCAGGUUGCCUACACAUAAAAAUAUAAUAAAACACUGCUCUGCAAAAUUUAACUAAA